rnacentral:rRNA from 1 species
GAUGAACGCUAGCGGCAGGCUUAACACAUGCAAGUCGAGGGGUAACAGGAAGUGCUUGCACUUCGCUGACGACCGGCGAACGGGUGCGUAACGCGUAUGCAACCUACCUUCUACAGGGGGAUAGCCCAGAGAAAUUUGGAAUAAUACCCCAUACGGUCAUUUAAUGGCAUCAUUAUAUGAAGAAAACCCCGGUGGUAGAAGAUGGGCAUGCGUCCUAUUAGUUAGUUGGUAAGGUAAUGGCUUACCAAGACAUCGAUAGGUAGGGGUCCUGAGAGGGAGAUCCCCCACACUGGUACUGAGACACGGACCAGACUCCUACGGGAGGCAGCAGUGAGGAAUAUUGGACAAUGGAGGCAACUCUGAUCCAGCCAUGCCGCGUGCAGGAAGACGGCCCUACGGGUUGUAAACUGCUUUUAUACAGGAAGAAUUGUACCUACGUGUAGGUAUUUGACGGUACUGUAAGAAUAAGGAUCGGCUAACUCCGUGCCAGCCGCCGCCGUAACAC